GAUGAAGAACAUAGCGAAAUGCGAUAACUAAUGUGAAUUGCAGAAUUCAGUGAAUCAUCGAGUCUUUGAACGCACAUUGCGCCCCCUGGUAUUCCGGGGGGCAUGCCUGUCCGAGCGUCAUUGCUGCCCUCAAGCACGGCUUGUGUGUUGGGCUCCGUCCCCCCGGGGACGGGCCCGAAAGGCAGCGGCGGCACCGAGUCCGGUCCUCGAGCGUAUGGGGCUUUGUCACCCGCUCUGUAGGCCCGGCCGGCGCCAGCCGACAACCCAUCAUCCUUUUCAGGUUGACCUCGGAUCAGGUAGGGAUACCCGCUGAACUUAAGCAUAUCAAUAAGCGGAGGA
rnacentral:misc_RNA from 1 species